CUCUUCAGUCAUGUCGGCCAGGUGCUUCCCAGGCCAGCACUGCCCCGCCCCUGCAUGAGCCGGGGAUGGGAGUUUGGAAACUGCUCCCCAUAGGCGGCCGGAGAGGAACGUGAAUCUUUGUCUGUUUCACUCCUCAGCAGCUCACUCUUGGUCCCAGGAGGAAAACAAGAAGGUUAACCAGGCACAACCCAGAGGUAGACAGGGUCUCACUGCGUGCCUGUAGUGCCAGCUACUCAGGAGACUGAGGUGGGAGGAUCUCUUGAGCCCAGGAGGUCGAGGCGGCAGUGGCCCGUGAUUGCACCACUGUACUCAAGUCUGUCUGCACUACCAUUGUGAGCCGUAACACUCACUGCGAAGGUCUGCCGCUUCACUCCUGAAGUCAGCAAGACCACAAACCCACCAGAAAGAAGAAAUUCCAGACACAUCUGAACAUCUGAAGGAACAAACUCCGGACACACUAUCUUUAAGAACUGUAACACUCACCACGAGGGUCUGUGGCUUCAUUCCUGAAGUCAGCGAGACUGAGAACCCAUGGGAAGGAACCAAUUCCGGACGCACUGGGUUCACGCCAUUCUCCUGCCUCAGCCUCCCGAGUAGCUGGGACUACAGGUGCCUGCCCACCAUGUCCCGGUAAUUUUUUGUAUUUUUAGUACAGACGGGGUUUCACCCUGUUAGCCAGGAUAGUCUCGAUCUCCUGACCUCGUGAUCCACCCGCCUUGGCUUCCCAAAGUGCUGGGAUUACAGGUGUGAGCCACUGUGCCCGGCCUUUUUUUAAGUCUCAAUAUGGGAUUUCCAUAAAACUUAAUCCGUACUCCACAAUGCAACUUUUUAUAAUCAAUAAAAUUGGCAAGUUUGUUUGCUUCCUAACAAUUUAGAAGGACUUUCAGAAAAUUUGGCUGGUCAAAACCUAUUUUUACAUCUAGCCAAAUGGUUAUCUCUAGA